rnacentral:rRNA from 2 species
GGUUAAGUUAAAAAGGGCGCAUGGUGGAUGCCUUGGCACUAGAAGCCGAUGAAGGACGGGACUAACACCGAUAUGCUUCGGGGAGCUGUACGUAAGCUUUGAUCCGGAGAUUUCCGAAUGGGGAAACCCAGCAGUUUUAAUCGACUGUUACUAUAUAGUGAAUUCAUAGCUGUAUAGAGGUAGACGUGGGGAACUGAAACAUCUCAGUACCCACAGGAGCAGAAAGAAAUUUUCGAUUCCCUCAGUAGCGGCGAGCGAACGGGGAACAGCCCAAACCAAUGAGCUUGCUCAUUGGGGUUGUAGGACUGAACAUUUGAGUUACCAAAGUUGUUGAUAAUCGAACAAUCUGGGAAGGUUGGCGAAACAGGGUGAUAGCCCCGUAGGUGAAAUCAAUGACCCUCAGUUCAGGAUCCUGAGUACGGCGACACACGUGAAACGUCGUCGGAAUCCGGGAGGACCAUCUCCCAAGGCUAAAUACUCUCUAGUGACCGAUAGUGAACCAGUACCGUGAGGGAAAGGUGAAAAGCACCCCGGAAGGGGAGUGAAAUAGUUCCUGAAACCAUGUGCCUACAAGCAGUUAGAGCCCGUUAAUGGGUGAUAGCGUGCCUCUUGUAGAAUGAACCGGCGAGUUACGGUAACAUGCCAGGUUAAGGUUUAAAAGCCGGAGCCGCAGCGAAAGCGAGUCUGAAAUGGGCGUUUUAGUAUGUUGCUGUAGACCCGAAACCAGGUGAUCUACCCAUGUCCAGGGUGAAGGUGCGGUAAAACGCACUGGAGGCCCGAACCCGUGUACGUUGAAAAGUGCUGGGAUGAGGUGUGGGUAGCGGUGAAAUUCCAAACGAACUUGGAGAUAGCUGGUUCUCUCCGAAAUAGCUUUAGGGCUAGCCUCGGACGUAGAAUCAUGGAGGUAGAGCCACUGUUUGGAUGAGGGGCCCGUCAUGGGUUACUAAGUUCAGAUAAACUCCGAAUACCAUUGAUUUUUAUCCGGGAGUCAGACGGUGAGUGAUAAGAUCCAUCGUCAAAAGGGGAACAGCCCAGACCACCAGUUAAGGUCCCUAAAUAUAUGCUAAGUGGAAAAGGAUGUGGAGUUGCAUAGACAACUAGGAUGUUGGCUCAGAAGCAGCCACCAUUUAAAGAGUGCGUAAUAGCUCACUAGUCGAGUGAUUCCGCGCCGAAAAUUUACCGGGGCUAAGCAUAUUACCGAGACUGUGGACUUGACCUUCGGUCAAGUGAUAGGAGAGCGUUCUAAGGGCAAUGAAGCUAGACCGUAAGGACUGGUGGAGCGCUUAGAAGUGAGAAUGCCGGUAUGAGUAGCGAAAGAUCAGUGAGAAUCUGAUCCACCGAAUGACUAAGGUUUCCUGGGGAAGGCUCGUCCUCCCAGGGUUAGUCGGGACCUAAGCCGAGGCCGCAAGGCGUAGGCGAUGGAUAACAGGUUGAGAUUCCUGUACUAGUUGAUGAUGUUUGAGCGAUGGAGGGACGCAGGAGGCUAAGUUGUGCAUCCAGUUGGAAAGGGAUGUUCAAGCCACGAGUCAGUCAAAGAGUCAAAUGCUUUUUGGCGGGUUGACAAGUGGUGAUGAGGACCGAAAUUUAAGUAGGGAAGCAACCAACGUCACACUGCCGAGAAAAGCUUCUAGUGAGUCAUCAACUACCCGUACCGCAAACCGACACAGGUAGUCGAGGAGAGAAUCCUCAGGUGAGCGAGUGAACUCUCGUUAAGGAACUCGGCAAAAUGACCCCGUAACUUCGGGAGAAGGGGUGCUGUGCGCAAGCACAGCCGCAGUGAAAAGGCCCAGGCGACUGUUUAUCAAAAACACAGGUUUCUGCAAAAUCGUAAGAUGACGUAUAGGGGCUGACGCCUGCCCGGUGCUGGAAGGUUAAGUGGAUGAGUUAGCUUCGGCGAAGCCCAGAAAUGAAGCCCCAGUAAACGGCGGCCGUAACUAUAACGGUCCUAAGGUAGCGAAAUUCCUUGUCGGGUAAGUUCCGACCCGCACGAAAGGCGUAACGAUCUGGGCACUGUCUCAACGAGAGACUCGGUGAAAUUAAGAUACCUGUGAAGAAGCAGGUUACCCGCGACAGGACGGAAAGACCCCAUGGAGCUUUACUGUAGCUUGAUAUUGGGUGUUGACACAGCUUGUACAGGAUAGGUAGGAGCCAUUGAAGCCGGAACGCUAGUUUCGGCAGAGGCGUUGGUGGGAUACUACCCUCGCUGUGUGAACACUCUAACCCGCGCCACUCAGCGUGGCGGGAGACAGUGUCAGGUAGGCAGUUUGACUUGGGCGGUCGCCUCCCGAACAGUAAGGGAGGCGCCCAAAGGUUCCCUCAGAAUGGUUGGAAAUCAUUCAACGAGUGUAAAAGGCAGAAGGGAGCUUGACUGCGAGACAGACAGGUCGAGCAGGGACGAAAGUCGGGCUUAGUGAUCCGGUGGUACCGUAUGGAAGGGCCAUCGCUCAACGGAUAAAAGCUACCCUGGGGAUAACAGGCUUAUCUCCCCCAAGAGUCCACAUCGACGGGGAGGUUUGGCACCUCGAUGUCGGCUCAUCGCAUCCUGGGGCUGUAGUCGGUCCCAAGGGUUGGGCUGUUCGCCCAUUAAAGCGGUACGCGAGCUGGGUUCAGAACGUCGUGAGACAGUUCGGUCCCUAUCCGUCGCGGGCGUAGGAAAUUUGAGAGGAGCUGUCCUUAGUACGAGAGGACCGGGAUGGACAUACCGCUGGUGUACCAGUUGCGCCGCCAGGCGCACCGCUGGGUAGCUACGUAUGGAUGAGAUAAACGCUGAAAGCAUCUAAGUGUGAAACUCACCUCAAGAUGAGAUUUCCCAUUCCUAUAUGGAAGUAAGACCCCUGAGAGAUGAUCAGGUAGAUAGGUUGGAAGUGGAAGUGCAGUGAUGUACGGAGCGGACCAAUACUAAUCGGUCGAGGACUUAACCAA